rnacentral:rRNA from 1 species
GACGAACGCUGGCGGCGUGCCUAAUACAUGCAAGUAGGACGCAGUUGCGAACGGGUGAGUAACGCGUAGGUAACUACCUAUUAGAGGGGGAUAACUAUUGGAAACGAUAGCUAAUACCGCAUACUAGUAGAUGGACCUGCGUUGUAUUAGCUAGUAGGUAGGGUAAUGGCCUACCUAGGCAACGAGACAUAGCCGACCUGAGGGGGGGAUCGGCCCCAAUGGGAAUGAGACACGGGCCAGGCUCCUAAGGGAGGCAGCAGUAGGGAAUCUUCGGCAAUGGGGGGAAACCUGACCGGGCAAAGCCGCGGGAGUGGAGAAGGUUUUCGGAUCGGAAAGCUCUGUUGUUAAGGAAGCGGUACUUAACCAGAAAGCGACGGCUAACUACGUGCCAGCAGCCGCGGUAAUAC